GUAUAAUGAAGUAUAAAAGUAACUAAAUGUUUUUCAAAUUCCCAAUCUUAGUUACUUAGGCAAAGUGAAUUGAUGCAAUUCCAUGAAAUUACACUUUGUGCCCUUGCGAAGACGUUAGUGGAGCGUGUGUGGUUUACCGGCACACUAAAUGGUUCUAAGCAAAGGUAGCAAAGGGUGACUCAAUGUUUGUCAUAGUUCGGUGGAGCGUGUGUGGAUUACCGGCACACCGAAUAGGUGACUGUAACAUGUGAGGGCACCAUGUAAGUUUACAUGGUUAUUCACACCCGCUUUGUGAUCCUCGGUAUCCCAGUCACAAACAAGAGGGGCAUAUCGAGAUUUAAACAUGCCAUUGAAAUGUUCAAUGAAUCUCAAAGGAUCUAGGAGUUUUCAUAGAUUUAAAACCUAAAUUUAUUUUUCGUUUUUCAUGGUGGAAAUUAGUGAAUCGUCAUUCACUUACCUUCAAAUGUUCUGCAAUUAGGGUUACGGCAUCCCUCUCCCGAGUUGUAGAAUAUUGUGUUGGGUCCUAGCCUUAGUAUCUCAUUUGGGUGAUUUACUAAGGACUCAAUCAAUCAACUAACUUGAAUUUGUUUCCUCCCGUUUUGUAGAUGUCAAAGUUCGACAACUAUGGUCUUCCCAAAUCCCGUGGAACAAGCAUUCCACAUGAAGAUGGUAUUCCACGAUUCGAUCGAGGAACAAGAAAUCAUGCUUCACUUCCUCCACCUCCUCCAAUUAUUCUCCCUAACCCACAAGUUCAAAGGCUUGAAAAGUUCAAGAUCACUCAAGCCCUUUUGGCAAGUAAACAUAAAGAAGGAAAGUCGGUGUGUGCACACGUCCUAGGGAUGAAGUCACACAUUGAUAGGUUAAGAAUGUUGGGAUCCGUUGUCUGUGAGGAAAUGGCUGUUGAUUGGGUUCUUCAGUCACUUCCUAACUCAUAUAGUGAGUUCGUAAGAGAGUACUAUAUGAUGAACCGCGACGUGACCCUUAUAGAUCUCACCUAUAUGCUUAUUGCUGCUGAAUCAGCAAUGGUUUGGCGCAAUAGAAAAGCAAAGUUGAUUGGUGAAUCUGCCUUCAAGACCUCUAUGGAUAUAGACAAUGGCAACGAAAGACAUGCUAUGAUCGAAAAGUUUGAUCAUAAGAGAAAGGCAAUGUCUGAAGUAGUUCCAUGUCAUGUUCCAAAAGAGUCAAUUUGCUUUUAUUGCCAAGAGAAAGGGCAUUGGAGACGAAGCUGCCCCAUUUACCUAAGAGAUCUAAGAGAUGGGAGAGUCGAAACGUAUGGCUCUAAUAUAGGUAAAAUCCAUUAACUAACUCUUUUAAGCUUCUAUUCUAGAUUCUUAAUACAUAAUGUGAUAAGAUUACAAUUGAUGUUUUGUAGGAUCGAAGAAAAGAAAGGAAGCUUAAGGGAAGAAGUGAGCAGAAUCUAACCGUGAAGGAAUGGAUUUCGAUCGCAUUUCUCGAAGAUUAGAUUCUUGAGCUACUACUUAGAGUUAGAAUUAGAUUGCUAAGAAAGAUGUAUUAGCAUAGUUUUUCAAUGAAUUGCAUUGUAAGGACAAAUUUUUUCCGCAAUAAAAUAAAUUUUGAUUUUAUAUUAUUUAUUUAUCCUUGCAAUGGCGUAUAUGAAAAAUUGAUGUUUGAAUGUUUCUAUUAUUAGCAAUAAUGGAUUUGGUUCUUAUUAUGUUAUUUAUGGAAAGUCGAGAAUUUACCAAAUAGGGAGAGUUUCUCAUCGCCCAAGUUUCAAUUGGACAGAAACUUGGAAUCAUGCAACUUGGUUGCACGAUGAAUGAGAAAUUUCAUAUUUGGAAAUUAGACUAAUUCAUUGACAAAGUGUCAAGUGAAGGACUAGGAGAUCGAGUACACAAAGUUGCGUGUUGAUCAAGUCCACCAUAAGAGUAACAAAGAUAUUCGUCAUGAUUUACUAAAGGUUUAGUAAAUAUGAUUAUACUUACAAGAUUAAGUGUAAUUCUGAAUUGAUUGAAAAAGUUUAAAUCAAUAGCAGAACGAAUAAGAAGAAUCAAGUAGGCAGAAAGAUAAAAGUUUCUCCAUUCUAAGAAGAAGGGAGAGUACCUUUUAUGCUUUAUGAUAGGUCUUAAUGAUUAAGAACCAUAUCUCAAUUGAUCCUCUAAGUGAGUCUUAGUACAAUUGUAUGUCUAAGAAGAGGAAUCAAGAAUUGAAGAAAUGGUUAAAUCAAGAAGUCAAUCAUACUUCGUUCCAAAACAAGUCUUAGAGUUAAGAUUGUGACAUUGAGUGAUAAGUAUUAAGAAGGUUUAUAACAUUCAUCAAAUGUGGAAAGUUGUGAUGUCUUGGAUAAGACAAAGACCAACUAGGACCAAUUUAUGAAGUGUUUUGAUAAAAGCUACACUAACUCUUGAAUAUUUGUUUGUCAAGAAAUGUUUAUUGACAAGAGAAUCUUAUAUGUCAAGGAGUCAGUGGGAGUCUUAAUGGUCUUGAAAGGUUUCAAGAACAAAUCAAAUAAACCUUAUCGAUCAUCACUAGCACACGAGUUGAGGUUUACAACCUAUCGUGUUGACAUUAUUUUGUUUCUGUGCCAAUCCAAUCGAGUUAAUUAUGCAUGUGAGUUCUAUGAGUUCUCAUUUUGAACGCAUAAAAGGCAAAGCACCUUAAUCAAUGAAAGGUACAUUGAUAGGAAAGGGUGAGCUGCUUAACUACUUGGAAGACAUGGUGGGCAGCUGUGCUACCAUAAGGCAAGAAAUCAAGAUUAAGAAAGUUCGGUCCAUAUGAGUUUGAAUUUGUCGUAAACUUUGGUUUUAACAAAUUCACAUGGAUAGGAACACAUACACCGUUUAAAUCUAAGUGUCAUAAGAUUUCCUCCUUCAUGAAAAUGAUUGUGAGGAAAUGCUUUCACUAAGAAAGAUUUUAAGAAGAUAGUGAUUGUAAAAUUGCAUUCUCGAAUUCGAUUAUGGUUACGGUAUCCCUUUCCAUAAUUUGAAUUGUGAGGUUUGGCAAUUAGUCUUAAUUGUUUAGACACACAUAUGAACUAUCGAAGGCAAAGGUGUAUAAGUUCAAGAAGCCUUGAUAAAAGAUUAUCAAAGCACUAAGUAUUAGAAACAUGAACUUAAGAAAUUCAAUAAGUAUUGUUUUUCUGAAAGUUAAGAUGUUUAUGAAUACAUGUCGAAGCUAGUGGGAGCAUAAGUGUUAUGUUUUAUAAUAAUCAUCAUGAUAGUGGGAGCAUAAAUGUUAUGAUUGUAUGAUUAUUAAGGAAAGUAUUGCAAGUUGGCAAUAUUAAUUAUAGAAAACAAGAGUCAUACUUUGCAAAGUUGUAAGGAUGGAAUAGUUGUUUUGCUAUAAUUAAGGGAGAGAAUAUUAUGCUUCAUUUCAAAUCUAAAGGCUUAGGUUGAGAAAUGUUAAUAAAUUUAGUCAAAGGUACAUAGUGUGUUCUUAAAAUUUCGAUUAUGAUUACGGCAUUCCUCUUCACAAUUCGAAUUUUGAGAACAUAGCAAAUAAAACAUUAUGCGUCGUGUCCCAUACGCUUCGGGUAUAGGAUCGAUUGCAAAUGCUUUAAUGUUUGACCAUUCUAAAAUUUUCCAAAUGUCGAGCGCAUUUAGAGGGAAAAGGGACUAGAAUUGGUUUUGACUAAAAUAAUUAAACAACUAUCAAAGGACAAUCCAAAGUUCGACGAGGAUUGGUCGCUUGUGAGUAGUUGGAAGUAUGGUAUUGGAAAAUAUGGAAAUGUUUCCAUAUUGGAUGGACCAUAUCGACAUCAUUACGAAUAGAUAAGAUUCUAUUAAGAAUGAGUUGUCAUAUGGAACAUAUGGAAGUGUGUCCAUAUUGGGAAUUGAAUAUUGAGAAAUCUAUGACUAGAUUAGAAACUUCUAUGCAAAAGGAUGUUCAAAGAAUGUACUUUGAGUGAGAGACAUCACGUCUAUGGAAUUGUCUUGUAACAAUCUCCGAUAGAGGACUUUGUAAUAUCAUUGGCAAUAGUCUUUGUGACUUUGGUGCAGUGACAUUACGAAAGGAUAGUUGCAUAGAAUGUUAGAAUCUAGCAUAUUCUAUAAGUAGCAAGAAUUUGAUAUUCUUUGACUUAUGAAAAACGGAUUUGGAGUUGUGAAAUGAGAAGGAUUGGAAAUGUGUUCAAUGUGAUCUAUUUCACAAAGUAAGAACCAUAGGUAAACAUUGUGUGCAUGCUAGGAGCAUGGGACAAGUGUUGGAAUUCAAGUAAGAAGUUGAUUACCCGAAACGACAAAUAAUGAGUAAUCAAUAUGGUGAUAAAUAAAAGGUGUUUUAUUUAUACUCAAAGGUUUGAGGCCAUAUGGGAUUAGUAUUAUUCUUGUGUUUCACAUUUGCAUGUUUUGACUUCCAGAAUAAUUGAGUUUAUUAAGAAUAAUCGAAUUAUUCAAACGGGCCACAGUCGUUCAUAUGUUGGAAGUAGAUAUGAAUGAAGACUGUCGUGAAUUGGUGUGUGGAUUGUCUAAAAGAGUAUUAGACAUAAGCAAAUGUUUGCUGCAACGUUCAUGAGUGCUUAUGAAUAUGAUUUGAGCAUUGGAUUAAACCCACGCUCACUUGGAUCACUCCAUGAAUUGUAUCACGAGUGAUUGGUGAGACGAUAACAUCUUAUAUUCUUGAAACCGAGAUGUGUGAGUUGUAUCUUGCAAAUCGGUUGCACAUUGAUAAUAUGUAAACGCACUAGUAACUUGGUGUUAUAAAACAUAUUGUUGUGUGUGAUUCGGUGAGUGAGUGCAAGCAAGCAUUGUAUCAAAGUUUAUCCGUUCCUUUUAUCCAAAGUAGGAUAAAAGCGAUAUCUUUGGGCCCCUCGAUGGUUUAGUGAUGACAAACGUAAAUGCUCGGCCGGGCUAGGGCUAAUUUGAUUUGUUCAAUUAGUCAGUCGUCAUAAAUCGGAAAUCGAGAUAUAGUACAAAGAGAAUGAUUUGAAAUCAUAUCUCAUAUGAUAUCUAGAAUGGAGGAAUAUAUGAUCCCUUAUCUAAGGACACGCGUAUCUGAUAUGAUCAGAGUUGACAGCGGCUUUGGAAAGCUACGAUUGCAGAUCGGGAUCCGAAGUCAUACGCAGAAUAGUUGUUAGACUUAUCCAAGUGGGAGACUGUUGGAUUAGUGUCUAAGUCCAUAACUAUUUUGGUAUGUACUUGACCCGAUGGUGCAUGGUCCUUUUGGGUUGCCUUCACCAAAGCAACUUGAUUGGAGAAAUAAAUAGAGAGAGAGGUUAUUAUGAUUUAUUAAUAUGUUAUAAGAAUAAUAUAUUAAAGGAGAAAUCAUAUUUGUUUAAUUAAUAUUGGUCAAUAAUUAAUUAAGAAUUAAUUUUGUGAUCAAGUGUAAUUAAUUAAACUAGAGGGGCUGAAUUGUAAUUAUGUGAUAGUUACAAAAUAAGGUAAGGAUUAUCUUAUAUAUAUGGUGAACGAAUUUGAGGUGUAAAUCCCUUAGAAUUCGACUAGGAUAAGGAUUUCUAGGACUUAUCUUAUGGUUGCUUGGUGGACAAGCAACUAGAUAAGGAUAAGGACUAAAACCCUAAUCUUUACACCUAUAUAAACCCCCUAGGGCUUAGGAAUUCGUCCAACCCUUCCCAAGAGGUCCUAAGGACGAAUUCUAACCUCCCUCCUCUCUCUUUAUACCUUCUCCACUUGCUUAUGGUGUUUGUAAGCCAUUAGAGGAGUGACACUUGUGACUCUCAGCUUUCCAAGGUCAAUUCAAGGAGGAAUUGGAUUGUUAUUGCUAUAUAACAAUCAAGGUAUGUUCUUAAACCUAAUUACAUGUGAAUUCUGAUUUCCAUAUGCUAGAAUUAGGGUUCAAAGUCUUGGAUUCAAAGUAUGUACAAUAGAGAAACCUAGAUCCAAGCUUUAGGGUUUGUAUGAGCACAUAGGAUGUCUUAUGACCAAAACCCAUCAGUGGUAUCAGAGCCAUGAUUGGUUUCUAUUGUAUUGAUGCUUGAUGUAACUGAAAAUCGUGUUUUGGCCUCACUGUUCGACCUGACUCGGCGAGUCACUCUUGGACUCGGCGAGUCAGCCCUACUCGGCGAGUUCCAGAGGGUGACUCGGCGAGUCGGUGCGUCAGAUAGUGCUUAUCUCGGGAUUUCUUGCUGUUUUUGCAUUGGGAUAAUUACCUUAUCAUGUUAGAUUAAUAUUAAUCCGAUUAUAUGAUAUAUUUGACUAUAUUUUUAAUCUAAUUGAAGAUAUUUAUCAAUUAAUAAGAUAAUUGUUUCCUUAUAAGAUAAUUGAUUAAUUAUUUUAAGUAAAUUGAUAAAUUAUUUUGCAAGAAAUCAUCAAAUAUGGAUAAUUAUGUGAUUAAAUGUUAAUUUGAAUUAUUUGUUAUUUGAUCCUUGUUGUUGUGAAAAGUUUCAUAUUUGGCCCUUUAGGUUUUAUAGUUUAAAUUUGAACCCCAAAAGUUUUGUUGUUUUGAAAUUUAAAUAGUUGAAACCCUAAUGUUUUGAAAAAGGUUUCAAAACUUGCCCUCAAGUUUUGGAAUUUAAAUUUUGAUUAAAUAGUUUAAUUUUGAUGCAUAUUUAAAUUCUAAACCCUAAUGUGUUGAAAUGUUUCAAAACUUGCCCUCAAGUUUUGGAAUUUAAAAGUUGAUUAAAAGUUUAAUUAGGAAUGUUAAAUUCUAAAACUCUAGUAUAGUUUUGAAAAAGUUCAAAUCACACCCUUAUGGUUUUAUUAAUUAAUUAAGGUGUAUAAUUAAAAGAGGUUUAAUAAAUCCAUAAAAGUUUAGGUUUACAAUUUAAUUGAAUUAAAAGUAUAAUUGUUAAAUUAGACCACCUAGUAUUUUAAAAGUAUAAAAUACACCCUAUACUAUAUAUAACAUUAAAAGUCUAACAUUAUAUAUAUGUAUGAGUAAAAGUCAGUCUUACCGUUAGUAGGCCUCAUUCACGAAGCUGGUCUAUAAGGGGUGUUUAAGGAAAUUGCCUAUAAAAUGGCGAUUGAAUGGGUAUCCACUCUUACCCACCGCACUCUUGACUAGUGGAGGGUCGUUAGCCGAACGGGUAGGAUAGGACGAAACCUUCCAUUAUAAGUAUAAUGAAUUAUUAAAGUAACUAAAUGUUUUCAUAAAAUUCCCAAUCUUAGUUACUUAGGCAAAAGUGAAUUGAUGCAAUUCCAUGAAAUUACACUUUGUGCCCUUGCGAAGACGUUAGUGGAGCGUGUGUGGUUAACCGGCACACUAAAUGGUUCUAAGCAAAGGUAGCAAAGGGUGACUCAAUGUUUGUCAUAGUUCGGUGGAGCGUGUGUGGUUUACCGGCACAUCGAAUAGGUGACUGUAACAUGUGAGGGCACCAUGUAAGUUUGCAUGGUUAUUCACACCCGCUUUGUGAUCCUCGGCAUCCCAGUCACAAACAAGAGGGGCAUAUCGAGAUUUAAACAUGCC
rnacentral:lncRNA from 1 species